rnacentral:ncRNA from 1 species
UGUUGAGCUUGACUCUAGUCUGGCAUGGUGAAAAGACAUCAGAGGUGUAGAAUAAGCGGGAGGCCCCCGGUGCCCCGAGUCCCGUUUUCCCCGUGAGGGGGCGGGGCGGGGCGGGGGUCCGCUGGCCUCGUGGGCGGCCGAUGAAAUACCACUACUCUGAGAGUUUUUCACUGACCCAGUGAGGCUGGGGGGGGGGGGCCCUGAGGGCACAACCCACUCUGGGAACAGUGCCAGGUGGGGAGUUUGACUGGGGCGGUACACCUGUCAAACGGUAACUCAGGUGUCCUAAGGCGAGCUCAGGGAGGACAGAAAACUCCCAGGGAGCAGAAGGGCAAAAGUUCGCUUGAUCUUGAUUUUCAGUACGAAUACAGACCAUGAAAGCGGGGCCUCACGUUAAUAAAAAAAUAAAUAAAUAAAUAAAAUGAUUGCCAAUUGCAGUUGCUGAUGCCUCUCCUAGAAAGCCAGAUCAGUCUUUAUAUAAAGGCAAAGUACUCAAAACAAGCAGCUUAGAACAAAGUCAGCUCCAGUUCCCCUAAUUCAGUGGUGGCAAAGCUAUGGCA